UACGAAGGGGGCUAGCGUUGUUCGGAUUUACUGGGCGUAAAGCGCACGUAGGCGGAUCGUUAAGUCGGGGGUGAAAUCCUGGAGCUCAACUCCAGAACUGCCUUCGAUACUGGCGAUCUUGAGUCCGGAAGAGGUGAGUGGAACUGCGAGUGUAGAGGUGAAAUUCGUAGAUAUUCGCAAGAACACCAGUGGCGAAGGCGGCUCACUGGCCCGGUACUGACGCUGAGGUGCGAAAGCGUGGGGGAGCAAACAGG
rnacentral:rRNA from 1 species